rnacentral:misc_RNA from 1 species
GGAUGAAGAACGUAGCGAAAUGCGAUAAGUAGUGUGAAUUGCAGAAUUCAGUGAAUCAUCGAAUCUUUGAACGCACCUUGCGCUUCCUGGUAUUCCGGGGAGCAUGCCCGUUUCAGAAUCAAUAAAAAUCUCACCAAACUCUUUGCUUUCGGGCACUGAGUGCAGGUGGAUCUGGAUUUUUGCAUCAGCAAUCAUCUUAAAGCCAUUGUGUGUGCACCAAUUGAUGCGUCUUUUGGUUGUCCAAGUGCAACAGAUUUAUCUAUUUCGCUACGGCAAUUGACUGAUGUUCUUGAUGCGCAUGCUCCACCAAUUACAAGGAAUGCAAAUCGGUAUGAUUUGUGUUUCUGAUAACUUGAUCUGAAAUCGGGCAAGAAAACCCGCUGAACUUAAGCAUAUCAAUAAGCGGAGGA